UAGUUAUAUGUAUGUAAACCCUUAUUUUACAGUUCAAUUACCGAGCUGAAAACAUUAAAAAGGUAAUCCAGAAGGGAUCCUUGGGGAUCUUCACAUUUAAUCUGUAUGAUUUUACUUUAAAUAAAUAAACACAUAACAACCUAAAAUAACAACAAAAACAAUUUAAUAGGAUUAAAGUUGUUUGUAACUAACAAAAUGAUUCUUAUCCUUUGGAAAAAACAUCCAAGGAGAAAAAUGGUUUUAGCAAUGUUUGUCACUGUCUUAUUCUGUCUUCAUAUUCUGUUUUUGGAUGGAAAUAUGACUUGUAACCUUUGAAAAUGGGAAUGUCAGAAAAGUAAAAAUCAGGUUAUUUUUUGUUUUUGAGGAGGUUUUGGAAAAAAAGAAAUGAUGUAACUUGGAAUCAGCACCUUAAGAGACAACCUUGAUGGUAUGUUGUCGCUUCAUAAAUGAACUGAACUGAUGUUCGGCUGCAUCCCACUGAGCUGCAUUGAAAAACUAGGAAUUACGAGUAUCCAUACCACAAGCCACUGCUUUAAUCCCACAAAUCUCCACAUGCCCCUCAUUCCAAAUAAAAAGUGGAUUUCUGUGUGUCACGAGGUCGUGCUCAUGAGCUGACUCCAUUCAACAAAAUUACAUAAAUUCAGAGAAAUGUCUGCUGACACUUCUUCCCAUCCAGCUGUUGAUGACGUGCUCCACUGACCCUAAAGAUUGCGUAACUUUAAUGCAGGGCUGAUCAAGGAGGAUAAUUCUCAUGGGUUUACCACAUCUGCUCAGCAUAAAUCUGCCGGAAGCAAAGUCAUACAGUCAUCAGAUCGUCACAUUACACAACAUUUUUCGAUAAUGUUCCUACAUUUCUCAUUUCUUCAGUGAAGUUUGUGUCCUUGGGCAGGACACUGAACCCCACCUUGCCUCUGGGGGAAGGUUGGCGACAGUGAUCGGCAGUGCAGCCGCCAUCAGUGUGUGAAUGGGUGAAUGGGACUGUGACUGCAAAGCGCUUUGGGCAUUUGAGGAAGGUAGAUGAGCGUUGUACAAGUAUACUGUCAUGGUGCCUGCCGGUCUCCUCCCCCUUCCAGCCCUGCUCUGCUCCUGACUCCAGCUGUGACCAAUCAACUCAUCAACUCACCUGCUUCUUAAGGAGACCCAACUCCAAGAGCCUUCGCCAGUUCGUUAACCCUGAUGGUUUUGUCAUGCCACGAUUGUCACCUGGAACCUACACCACCUUGAGCUGCAGCUACCUCCCAGACGCCGACACUCUUCGGCCACAGCACGCACUGGUUCCGGCUACACUGGUCCUCCAGCCUUGCCACUCACAAGAACUCCAGCAACACCCCUCCUCAAGACCUUCAGUCACACCACUCUCAAGAUCUCCAGUAGCGCUGCAGCUGCACCUCUGUCAGCAAGAGCUACAGCUCGCUCGGGCUUCUCCACCACGCUCAAAGCCACGCCUUCUAGUCUCGACCUAGCCACGCUCCUCCAAGCCUUCGCCAUAUUCAGUGACAUUAAAUUACAUUUAUCCACUUA